AUUGAACGCUGGCGGCAGGCCUAACACAUGCAAGUCGAGCGGUAGCACAGAGAGCUUGCUCUCGGGUGACGAGCGGCGGACGGGUGAGUAAUGUCUGGGAAACUGCCUGAUGGAGGGGGAUAACUACUGGAAACGGUAGCUAAUACCGCAUAACGUCGCAAGACCAAAGUGGGGGACCUUCGGGCCUCAUGCCAUCAGAUGUGCCCAGAUGGGAUUAGCUAGUAGGUGGGGUAAUGGCUCACCUAGGCGACGAUCCCUAGCUGGUCUGAGAGGAUGACCAGCCACACUGGAACUGAGACACGGUCCAGACUCCUACGGGAGGCAGCAGUGGGGAAUAUUGCACAAUGGGCGCAAGCCUGAUGCAGCCAUGCCGCGUGUAUGAAGAAGGCCUUCGGGUUGUAAAGUACUUUCAGCGAGGAGGAAGGCGUUAAGGUUAAUAACCUUGGCGAUUGACGUUACUCGCAGAAGAAGCACCGGCUAACUCCGUGCCAGCAGCCGCGGUAAUACGGAGGGUGCAAGCGUUAAUCGGAAUUACUGGGCGUAAAGCGCACGCAGGCGGUCUGUCAAGUCGGAUGUGAAAUCCCCGGGCUCAACCUGGGAACUGCAUUCGAAACUGGCAGGCUAGAGUCUUGUAGAGGGGGGUAGAAUUCCAGGUGUAGCGGUGAAAUGCGUAGAGAUCUGGAGGAAUACCGGUGGCGAAGGCGGCCCCCUGGACAAAGACUGACGCUCAGGUGCGAAAGCGUGGGGAGCAAACAGGAUUAGAUACCCUGGUAGUCCACGCCGUAAACGAUGUCGACUUGGAGGUUGUGCCCUUGAGGCGUGGCUUCCGGAGCUAACGCGUUAAGUCGACCGCCUGGGGAGUACGGCCGCAAGGUUAAAACUCAAAUGAAUUGACGGGGGCCCGCACAAGCGGUGGAGCAUGUGGUUUAAUUCGAUGCAACGCGAAGAACCUUACCUACUCUUGACAUCCAGAGAACUUAGCAGAGAUGCUUUGGUGCCUUCGGGAACUCUGAGACAGGUGCUGCAUGGCUGUCGUCAGCUCGUGUUGUGAAAUGUUGGGUUAAGUCCCGCAACGAGCGCAACCCUUAUCCUUUGUUGCCAGCGGUCCGGCCGGGAACUCAAAGGAGACUGCCAGUGAUAAACUGGAGGAAGGUGGGGAUGACGUCAAGUCAUCAUGGCCCUUACGAGUAGGGCUACACACGUGCUACAAUGGCAUAUACAAAGAGAAGCGACCUCGCGAGAGCAAGCGGACCUCAUAAAGUAUGUCGUAGUCCGGAUUGGAGUCUGCAACUCGACUCCAUGAAGUCGGAAUCGCUAGUAAUCGUAGAUCAGAAUGCUACGGUGAAUACGUUCCCGGGCCUUGUACACACCGCCCGUCACACCAUGGGAGUGGGUUGCAAAAGAAGUAGGUAGCUUAACCUUCGGGAGGGCGCUUACCACUUUGUGAUUCAUGACUGGGGUG
rnacentral:rRNA from 2 species